UCUUGGCUUAUUGUUGAUUCUAGUUUGCUCACAAUAACACCUACAAUUUAACCCAUGUUAAAAAUAAUUCUACGCUCCUAUUAUAAAUGUGUUUUAAUUAUAACUUAAGAAACUUAGACUUAGUGUCCUGAGGAUGACUUAAUAUAAGUCGAAACGUCGACAUUUAGGUAAACAGGUUUCUGUUUUAUUUCUGACCGCACCCAACAACCCUCCGCAUUAUUGACAAUAUUCAAACAGUAUGUAAUACCCUAAGAAUAUUUGCAGAUGAUGACAAAUUUAUUAGUGGCGUCUCCGAACAUAUCUAAGCUAUGCUAGAAUGAAGAUCUACCGUUUCAAAAAAGGAAAGAUUGGUUUAGUAAAAACAAGUUUAUACUGAAUAAACAAGAAACGACCGUUUUGAUUUUUAAAGCAAAACAAAACAAGGAAGCGACCCCAAAAGAAGUAAACCUCAACAAUUACAAGGUUAAAGUGUGUGUACAUAUUAAUGAAUUUUUAGACUUUUCAGAACACAUUGAACAUUUACAAGUUAAAUUAAAUAAAGCUUAUUUUUCUUCCUGUACAGUGGUAAAAUACCUAAAUGAAUGGAUUAGUAUUUUGAAAACUUUGAGUCCGCAGCUAGGCAUGGCAUUAUUUUCUGGGCAGCCAACUCUAAGAUAAGAAAUAUAUUUGUCAUUUAAAAAAAGAAUAGAGAUAAGUUUCCUACUUCUGUUGAUAAUGGGUUUAAUACUCGCACAUGUAAUAUUAACUACCCUAUACACAGACUUUCACUCUUUGAACAGAAUGCCUAAUAUAUGAGCAUAAAGUUAUUUAAUAAACUUCCACAUAAAAUAUAAACUAUAGGAAAUGAAGCGAAACAGGUUUAAACAGAAGGUGAAACUGAAAGGUGAUUACCUAAGCAUGUAAACUUAUAUGUAGUUAUGUCAGGGAGGUGUUUUUUUUACUAAAUAGACCUUUUUUGGUGAUAUCAUUUUAUUUUAUAUAAGUUUUCAUGUACAAUGUUACUUCAUAGUACGAAAUAAAGAAAUAUAUUAUUAUUAUUUCCUAAUAUAA
rnacentral:lncRNA from 1 species